rfam:Phialocephala scopiformis strain CBS 120377 unplaced genomic scaffold LY89scaffold_17, whole genome shotgun sequence.
GGAAGCAUAGCUUAGUGGUACAGCUCACGAUUUAAAUUGUAAAGUUUGGUGGACCAUUUAGUUGGAAAGCGCGGGUAGAGACAUUAAGUUUGUGGAUCGCUGGUUCAAAUCCAGCUGCUUCUA